rnacentral:rRNA from 1 species
CGGACGGGUGAGUAACGCGUGAGUAACCUGCCUUACACAAGGGGAUAGCCGUUGGAAACGACGAAUAAUACCCUAUGACAUAAACUCUUCGCAUGAGGAGCUUAUCAAAGAUUUAUCGGUGUAAGAUGGACUCGCGUCUGAUUAGCUAGUUGGUGAGGUAACGGCCCGCCAAGGCGACGAUCAGUAGCCGGCUUGAGAGAGUGUACGGCCACAUUGGGACUGAGACACGGCCCAGACUCCUACGGGAGGCAGCAGAU